UGGACCCAGACAAGAAGGAGAUUAGUCUGUAAAAGAAAGCUUACUGGAACUGGACGCCAAGAGCUGGGGCAUUUAGAAAAGAACUGAAAGAACUGGGAUAAAAUCGUAAGAGCCAGGGACAACACUGAUGUGAGAUGUUUGCUGAUGAGGAAAGGGCUGCACUGCUGACUAAGGUGGUUGCUCUGUAACUCUAAAUCACCCACAAAGAAGGCCCAUUGACACCAGACAAACCAUUCUGGAACAUCAGGGGACAAAAGACUGUUGAUUGCUCCGCCCACCAUGAAGAGGAGAUGUUCAAGUGAAUUCCUCCCAACAGUGAAUUUGUGAUUCAAAGCAGAAGGGGGAAUGGAAUAAAAAGCCCUGACAAGGAGGAACUUUAUCUCUUAUGUUGCUGGGACUCCGAGAGGCAAGGAUUACUAAGCGUAAAGCAAAAGGUCCCCAGUACUUGGACUGGACUAGCCCUAAAGGACAUCUAGAGUGUGCUUAUUGUAGAAGCGUCUUUUACUUUUUGAGAUUUAAGAUUGGAACUCAUUUGUGUGUACCUCUGUUCACCUGCUUUAACCUUGCAUAUAACUCUCUUAUUUCCUUUCCCUAGUUAAUAAAUCUUUAGAUAGUUUAUUAUAAGAUUGGCUAU